CAGCCGCCACGGUAAUACAGAGGUCUCAAGCGUUGUUCGGAUUCAUUGGGCGUAAAGGGUGCGUAGGUGGCUUGGUAAGUUGAAGGUGAAAUCUCGGGGCUUAACUCCGAAACUGCCUUCAAUACUGCUGAGCUCGAGGAUUGUAGAGGAGAAUGGAAUUCACGGUGUAGCAGUGAAAUGCGUAGAUAUCGUGAGGAAGACCAGUGGCGAAGGCGAUUCUCUGGGCAAUUCCUGACACUGAGGCACGAAGGCCAGGGGAGCAAACGGGAUUAGAUACCCCGGUAGUCCCUGUCUCUUAUAA
rnacentral:rRNA from 1 species